AUUUCGGAUUGGAGUGAACAUACUAUUUGUUUUCAUUUCGUUUGAGAUAUCUAAUCUAGUGACUAUACCCCGAUCAAAGAAAGAUGAAGCUACUGUUGAUGUUCUGUUUGCUCGGAUUUGUGGCUGUUUGCAAAGCUCAAGACAGUUGUGUGGUUGAUGGUGUUACCUAUAGGAACGGUGAGGAGAUCCCAACAGGCGACCCCUGCAACCCGUGUUACUGUCACGUACCAGCAGGCCGCGUGUGUGCCGCACUCUACUGCUCCUGGCCCAGGUGUGACCCUGGACAGGCUGUGACCUACUACCCUGGUCAGUGCUGCCCUGGAUGCGAGCCUGCACAACUAGUCAGCUGAAACAAGAGCUCCUUCAUCCAAAGAUUUCCAUAAAAAUGUGAAUUGAACAAAAUAGCGAAAUAAAUUACAUGUGAACCGCUCGAAA